CCAUAUGGAUGGAUGCGUGACACGUGGCGGGCGGAUGCGGGUGCAUUUUUUGGCUUUUUGCGGGUUCGGGUCGAGUUGCAGUUGACCCGCCUCUGUACCCAAUAAACCCGACCCGCCCGUUUUUGUUGUUUUUAUUAUUAUUUUCCCCCUUUUUUUCUGAUCUCAUCUCACCACACUAACCUAAUAUUUCAUUCCUCUUCUUCGAUACACACACACACACAUACACUCUCUCUCUCUCUCCCUCUCUCCCAGAACCUUACCCAUACCGACGGCGAUGACGAUCGAGAGACUAUCUACACUGAAAAAGCCACGGUGAUCGACGAUCUGCUUUUGUUUUUGGAUCUGUACGCCCUCAGCCAGCCCUUUUUUGAGAGUCUCAUAUUAAAACCUUAACCCAUUGGCAUUCUUCGACCUGAAAGAGGAUCGACGAUCGUGGUGUGGUGGUGAGAUAUUGUCUUCUCUUCUUCUCUUAUUCUCCUGAUUCUGUAAUCUGUUCGUUAUGUAAUUUUUUUUUUCCGACUUCGACUUCCUCUAAAGUUCUUCUUUUCUGCAAUUUGUUUGUAAUCUAUUCUAUAAUUUUUUUUUUGUUCUGUAAAUCUGUUCAUUCUUAUUUUCCUCUUUUUUUUUUUUUUUUUUUUUUUUUUUUCUUGGUUCCAGUUUAUUGUAGUUCUAAAGUGAAACCAGUGGAAGAGAGGUUCUACAGUGUGAAGAGAGGUUCUACAGUGUGAAGAAGGUUACAGAGAGGGAAAAAAAGUGUUUGGCUCAUGGCUCAUGGUUCAUGAUUUGGCUCAAAGAAAUCAAUGGCUUAAGACAUUUUAAAUUUUUUGGAUGAUUGUAUUAACCAUUAAGACAUUUCAAAUUUUUUGGAUAAUUGUGUUAACUAUUAAGGCAUUUCAAAUUUUUUGGAUGACUGUAAUAUUUUAUUUUGGAUGACUUGUAAUACUUUAUUUUGGAUGAUUGUAUGUUAAAAAUUUGUGUUGCGUUGUUGUGUC